CCUACGGGUGGCUGCAGUGGGGAAUUUUGCGCAAUGGGCGAAAGCCUGACGCAGCAACGCCGCGUGGGUGAUGAAGGUCUUCGGAUCGUAAAACCCUGUCGUUGGGGACGAAGGUGGGGGCGUUAAUAGCGUUUCUGCUUGACGGUACCCGGAGAGGAAGCCCCGGCUAACUCUGUGCCAGCAGCCGCGGUAAUACAGAGGGUGCAAGCGUUAUUCGAAGGGAGCGGGGGCGGAGGGUGCAGUCAGGGGUGUAAUCCCCGAGCUCAACUUGGGAACGGCAUCUGAGACUGGAAGGCUAGAGUACUGGAGAGGGUGGUGGAAUUCCUCGUGUAGCGGUGAAAUGCGUAGAGAUGAGGAGGAACACCAGUGGCGAAGGCGGCCACCUGGACAGUAACUGACGCUGAGGCGCGAAAGUGUGGGUAGCAAACAGGAUUAGAUACCCCUGUAGUC
rnacentral:rRNA from 1 species